UACGUAGGGCGCAAGCGUUGUCCGGAAUUAUUGGGCGUAAAGAGCUCGUAGGCGGUUUGUCGCGUCUGUCGUGAAAGUCCGGGGCUCAACUCCGGAUCUGCGGUGGGUACGGGCAGACUAGAGUGAUGUAGGGGAGACUGGAAUUCCUGGUGUAGCGGUGAAAUGCGCAGAUAUCAGGAGGAACCCCGAUGGCGAAGGCAGGUCUCUGGGCAUUAACUGACGCUGAGGAGCGAAAGCAUGGGGAGCGAACAGG
rnacentral:rRNA from 1 species